rnacentral:rRNA from 1 species
CCCUUAGAGUUUGAUCCUGGCUCAGAACGAACGCUGGCGGCAUGCUUUACACAUGCAAGUCGAACGAGUAUGGACCUAGCUUGCUAGGGACCCAGCUAGUGGCAAACGGGUGAGUAACGCGUGGGAACCUACCUUUUAGUACGGAAUAGCCAUUGGAAACGAUGAUUAAUACCGUAUGCGCUCUACGGAGGAAAGAUUUAUCGCUAAAAGAUGGGCCCGCGUUAGAUUAGCUAGUUGGUGGGGUAAUGGCCUACCAAGGCAACGAUCUAUAGCUGGUUUGAGAGGAUGAUCAGCCACACUGGGACUGAGACACGGCCCAGACUCCUACGGGAGGCAGCAGUGGGGAAUAUUGGACAAUGGGCGAAAGCCUGAUCCAGCAAUGCCGCGUGAGUGAUGAAGGCCCUAGGGUUGUAAAACUCUUUCAGUGGGGAAGAUAAUGACGGUACCCACAGAAGAAGCUCCGGCUAACUUCGUGCCAGCAGCCGCGGUAAUACGAAGGGAGCUAGCGUUGUUCGGAAUUACUGGGCGUAAAGCGUGCGUAGGCGGCUUGACAAGUUGGGAGUGAAAUCCCGGGGCUUAACCUCGGAAUUGCUUCCAAAACUGUCAAGCUAGAGUAUGGUAGGGGAUAGUGGAAUUCCUAGUGUAGGGUGAAAUCCGUAGAUAUUAGAGAACACC